UGGAUCCACAGAGACGGCGACGCCGGAGUCUUCUGCUUCCUCUCUUUUGUCAGAGCUGCUCACCAUCUCCUCUAGUUGUGCGUGGUUCGAAUCUGUUGCAGCUGCGAGAGACGAAGCCCGUCAUGUACCACUGCUUACUGCUUGCCUGAAGCUUUUCUCUGCUCUGCUCUGCUCCGCUGCACUGAAGCGCAGCAAGUCCAUCGCCGUACCAAGAAAAUCCCGCUCUCUCCUUGACUCCGCUAUCUCUUCUGACUCCGUGAUUGCAAAUUGGUGGCAGGGAAGCAAAUUGGGGCUGGGAUUUUGUUAAAUAUUAGCAUGCUUUAGCCUUGCUCAUGCCAUUAUUAAUUGGAAUUUCUUCGAACGGAACAUGAUUUUAAUCACAUGAUUGUCUGAAUUUUAAUAACUUUUUUUUGUCUGAAUUUUAAUCACUUUUUUUUUCUAUUUGAUUCAAUAUCUUUAUUUUGUUUCUUUGUUCUUGUCAAUAUAAUGUAUCAAUGCCUCUGUUAUUGGGAUUUCUCUGUUUUGCCAAAAAUCUAUAGUAUGGUGAACUUUUUGGUUUCAUGGAUGCUUACCCUUUUUCAUAUUUUAAUAAGUACUUAUGUGCUUAGAAGAGCAAUUGACUCUGGUUGCAAAUUCGGAUUGUUGGUGGAAGGAAUGCAAAUUGGGACUGGUUUUCUAGUUGUUGGUGGACUAGCCUAGCUUGCUGAAUUGAUUAAUUCAUUAAUAGAAGGGAGUGGUGUCAUAAUCUGCAUUGACUCUGAAACAAGAAGUGAUGUCUCGGUUCCUUCAGUUUCUCUGUGUCAUCAUAGCAGCUUCGCAUGCUAUUAGGUUUGCCACCAACUUCUCUAUUCUUGUAGAACACCCUACACAACACCCAAUCUUCCUGUAUGGACAGAAAAAAGAGUUAAUUAGAUGCUAUCAUAGUUAAUUUGAACCUAUGACUAUGCUUUAGAAAAUGGCCGAGGUUUGUGAAAGCUUCAAUUUUUACCAUCAUUCAAUUGCUUCUUUUUCUUUUCUUUUUU
rnacentral:lncRNA from 1 species